AGUGAACGCUGGCGGUAGGCCUAACACAUGCAAGUCGAACGGCAGCACAGUAAGAGCUUGCUCUUACGGGUGGCGAGUGGCGGACGGGUGAGGAAUACAUCGGAAUCUACUUUUUCGUGGGGGAUAACGUAGGGAAACUUACGCUAAUACCGCAUACGACCUACGGGUGAAAGCAGGGGAUCUUCGGACCUUGCGCGAUUGAAUGAGCCGAUGUCGGAUUAGCUAGUUGGCGGGGUAAAGGCCCACCAAGGCGACGAUCCGUAGCUGGUCUGAGAGGAUGACAAGCCAACUUGAAACUGAGCAACGUCCAAGACUCCUACGGGAGGAAGCAGUGGGGAAUAUUGGACAAUGGCGGAAAGCCUGAUCCAGCAAUACCGGGUGGUUGAAGAAGGCUUUCGGGUUGUAAAGCCCUUUUGUGGGGAAAGAAAAGCAGCAGGUUAAUACCCCGCUGUUCUGCGGGUACCAAAAGAAUAAGCACCGGCUAACUUCGU
rnacentral:rRNA from 1 species